ACAACCAGGAUGUUGGCUUAGAAGCAGCCACUCAUUAAAAGAGUGCGUAAUAGCUCACUGGUCGAGUGACUCUGCGCCGAAAAUUUAACGGGGCUAAACUAUACACCGAAGCUUGGGAUACAUCUAAUGUAUGGUAGGAGAGCGUUCUGUAUGGGGAGAAGUCGUAGCGAAAGCGGCGGUGGACUGUACAGAAGUGAGAAUGCCGGAAUAAGUAGCGAGAAUUAAGUGAGAAUCUUAAUGGCCGAAAGUCUAAGGUUUUUGGAGGAAGGUUCGUCCGCUCCAAGUAAGUCGGGAGCUAAGGUCAGGCCGAAAGGCGUAGCCGAUGCACAUACGGUUGAUAUUCCGUAACCAUCUGUAAUUUAAGCAAAGGGACACUUCAAAAGGGUGUGACCCGGGCGUUGGUUGACCCGGGCGUAAGGGACCGAAAUUAGAGUAGGGAAGCACACUUAGCUGAAGGCGAGAAAAGCUUUGCGUAUAGAAGCAGAUGCCCGUACCGCAAACCGACACAGGUAGACAGGAAGAGAAUUCUAAGGCCAGCGGGAGAAGGGUAGUUAAGGAACUCGGCAAAUUGACUCCGUAACUUCGGAAUAAGGAGUGCUCGAAAGAGCCGCAGAGAAUAGGCCCAGGCGACUGUUUAGCAAAAACACAGGUCUCUGCCAAAUCGAAAGAUGAAGUAUAGGGGCUGACACCUGCCCGGUGCCGGAAGGUUAAGAGGAGGAGUGAGAGCUCCGAAUUGAAGCCCCGGUAAACGGCGGCCGUAACUAUAACGGUCCUAAGGUAGCGAAAUUCCUUGUCGGGUAAGUUCCGACCCGCACGAAUGGUGUAACGAUCUGGGCACUGUCUCAACUACCCACCCGGCGAAAUUGUAGUACCGGUGAAGAUGCCGGUUACCUGCGGCAAGACGGAAAGACCCCAUGGAGCUUUACUGUAGCCUGAUAUUGGGUUUCGGAAAUCUAUGUACAGGAUAGGCGGGAGACUAGGAAACAUGAGCGUCAGCUUGUGUGGAGUCGAUGUUGGGAUACCGCCCUUAGGUUUCUGGAAUUCUAACCUGCGGCCGUGAAUCCGGUCGGGGGACAUUGUCAGGUGGGCAGUUUGACUGGGGCGGUCGCCUCCGAAAAGGUAACGGAGGCGCUCAAAGGUUAGCUCAGCACGGACGGAAACCGUGCCUCUGAGUGUAAACGCAAAAGCUAGCCUAACUGCGAGGGUGACGGCCCGAGCAGUAACGAAAGUUGGAGUUAGUGAUCCGGCGGUAUGUGAAUGGAAAUGCCGUCGCUCA
rnacentral:rRNA from 1 species